UCGAAGACAGAGAAAGCAGAGGGAGGCAGACAGAGAGUCAGGGAGUUAUUGCAUUAGAGAGUUACUGCAUAACAGAGUUAUAUCAUUAGUUAGAGUGUCAUUUUAUUAGCUAGAGACUUACAGUGUUAGAGAGCUGUACUGAUUAAUAAGAGAGGGAACGGAAGUGUACAGAAAAUCAUUGUACCUUUUAAAAAGGGCACAUUCAGAAUGAGGACAUAUCCAAGUUCUGGAGGAUGUUUUGACAAGAUGUUAUCAGUUCCUCCAGCUCCUUUGCUGCACUCUCUGCAAGCUGCUCAUGACAAUAAAUUCAUGUCAAGCCUG